GAUCCUGGCUCGGAUUGAACGCUGGCGGCAGGCCUAACACAUGCAAGUCGAACGGUAACAGGAAACAGCUUGCUGUUUCGCUGACGAGUGGCGGACGGGUGAGUAAUGUCUGGGAAACUGCCUGAUGGAGGGGGAUAACUACUGGAAACGGUAGCUAAUACCGCAUAAUGUCGCAAGACCAAAGAGGGGGGACCUUCGGGCCUCUUGCCAUCGGAUGUGCCCAGAUGGGAGUUAGCUAGUAGGUGGGG
rnacentral:rRNA from 1 species